AUACAUACUCUGAUGAUGCACCAUCAUGAUGGUGACUUUCCCAAAAUGAGGCUUAUCUAUUGCACUCUGGAUGUGCUGACCUCUGCGAUUUCCCCAAAUGUGGGAAACUUGACUGCAGAACUUGUGAGAGUGGGGGAUGUCAUUCAUGUUCUCCCCUG